GACGAACCGUGCGAACGUUAUUCGGAAUCACUGGGCUUAAAGCGCGUGUAGGUGGGACGGCACGUCCGACGCUGAAAUCCCCCGGCUUAACCGGGGAACUGGCGGGGAUACGACCGCCCUUGAGGGACGUAGGGGGACCUGGAACUUCCGGUGGAGCGGUGAAAUGCGUUGAGAUCGGAAGGAACGCCCGUGGCGAAAGCGAGGUCCUGGACGUUUUCUGACACUGAGACGCGAAAGCCAGGGGAGCGAACGGG
rnacentral:rRNA from 1 species